GGGGGCAGUCAGGUGCAGAAAAUGGCGGUAUUUGCUGCAGAGUAGAGCCGGUUCUAAGAGGAGUGGAAACUCAGGAGGAUGACAGAAAAUGUGCCCAGGAGGCUGGCAUGGCUGAUUGUUCCUUAUCGUAGUGGCCUUUCCUCCUGCACUGCCAAGCUAACACAUGUGCCUGCUGUUCAGAGAGACCACUUGCUGCAGCUGUAAUGUUACACAGCUUGGAGAGAAAAAAACAAACACCAUGCUUUCUGCUACUUUGACCUGGUAAUUUGUUAAGUUCAUCCUUCAGUGCUGACCCUGGGACACUGCAGAUAUCAAGGCUGGUUAGAUAAAUUCCAAAUUCAAUUUUUGUUCAUGAGCUUUCAAUUUGCCUUUGACAAGCAAAACCAUUCAUUGAUUAAAACAAGACCCAAGGACAUCUGAGAUAAAAAGGCAACCACUCCAGGUUCCCCCAGAGUUCUUGCUUUCUGUGUUCCCUGAUUAAGAUUUAUGUGCUACCUUUGGCUGAUCUUACUUGUGGGAGUAGUACUAAUUUUCACAGAGCCAAAGGAUUUACAAAGCAGGAAAACAAGUGGAGUCCUACCAGGCAUUCAUAGUGGGUCACAUCUCUGCUCUGACAAGGUACAAUUUAACAUCAGAGUGAACUCAAUUUUCAUAGACCACGGGGAACACUUAUGCAACAAUGAACUGUUAAAACACAAGUAGGCAAAGGUUUUACAAACCAAAGGAAAGAUAGAUUAUUAACUGUUAUUUAAAAAAAAAAAAAACACUUUCCACACUAGCUUAUCUUGAACUAAAUAUUAUGAAACUACAGCCUUAGUAUUACUAUUUAUGUAUUAGUUACUUCUCAUCUUGAGCAGAUAACUUAUUUGAUAUUUUAUUGAUGAUCUCUACACUCUAAGUAAUUUAAAAAUAAUGUAUCUCAAAGAAAAGCUUCAGCUUUAGGAACAUAUUUCUACAGUAUGACUUAAUAUUGCUUUAGAACUAGAUCUGUAUGUGGUCAGCCCUUGCACAGCCAGAUGAUUCUCAUGUGUAAGACUUCUCUGUGAGACGUUGUUAUUUCUCUAUUUCUGAAUGUCACAAUUAAGGAUUUUUCAAACUGUCUCUGAUGACAGUUCUAGUAAAAAGUACUGCACAGCUUUUUAGCUCUCUCAGUGAAAAAUUUCUCUGUGGCAAUUGUAGGAGUCUAUACAGUGAAGACAGCCUAAAAAAAACAAAAAAACAAAAAAACAAAAAAACCACAGAAACAUCAGACAUGCUCCCUUUUUAUCUUUCAUUCUUCUCUUCCCUUGUUUAAAUGUUUAAAAUUCAUUCACAUUCCAGCUCAUGUCCAUCUAAAUAGAACAUUACAUUCCUGUUUAGCAACACGUGCAAUAAGGCAAUUAUUCAUAAUCCAAAAUCUGGUCCCAACUUAAUGUGGCAGUUCAGAAUCCUGUAUUUUAGUUUCGGUCUCAGAUUUAAGCCUCUGUGAGGAGAAGCAUUAAAUUAAAAAGUUGAGGGAUUUUUGUAUAUUAAACAAGAAUCUAGAGACAAAGUGCAGCAUACUGCAUGGUAAAAGAUACAAUUGCUCUUGCUACUGUUACCCCAGUAUGAUAUUAACAUUAUAGAUAACAGUAAGACAUUGUAUUAGCAUUUGCAUGAGCUUUGUAGCAUAUAGUAAAUGAUAAUUGCUCCACAUUGCAUUGUCCUUGAACCUAGCUGAUGAGUUUACAUAAAUACUAAAGAUAGCCUCUGGCAUUGUGUGCUCUGAAGGAAAGAUAACAGACAUAGUAAUCUUUCAUUUUCAGCUGAAAAUUUCAUAUUUUUUCUCUCAAU